UACAGAGGUCCCAAGCGUUGUUCGGAUUCACUGGGCGUAAAGGGUGCGCAGGUGGGUUUGCAAGUUCGAUGUGAAAGCCCCGGGCUUAACCCGGGAAUGGCAUUGGAUACUGCAGAUCUGGAGGAUCGGAGGGGGGACUGGAAUUCUUGGUGUAGCAGUGAAAUGCGUAGAUAUCAGGAGGAACACCGAUGGCGAAGGCAGGUCUCUGGGCCACUACUGACGCUGAGAAGCGAAAGCAUGGGGAGCGAACAGG
rnacentral:rRNA from 1 species